rnacentral:lncRNA from 1 species
AACUCUGUUUCAAGAACAUGAUUCAAUAUAUGUGUUUAUAUCUGAACCAAACAGACAAGAAAGAUUUGGUUAUGUCAAAAUUCCAAAGGCUUUACCUCAGCGUCAAGAUUGUAAUCAUGUAUGUAUAACACAUCAGAUCUGAUGAUUAUUUGAAUUCCAUCAUUGGUAAAGCCUUUCACUUUUUAACUCCAAUCAAAAACAAAGAAAAAGGUUUUGUUUUGAAAACUGAAAGUAACGAGUUUUGUUAAUGCAUCAGAGAGAUUCCCAUUAAAGACUAUAGUCAACACAGAUAAUUUCUGAUGUCCCUGUCUGUUAAUCGUCACUUGCAAACAACACAAACCCAAAAAAAGAAGAACUAUCAGCAACCAAAUCCUAUACUACUCAAUUCAAUGAAGGAACAAAGCUUGAAAACAAAGAAGAAUUUUAAGAUUGUGAUGAAAAAACGGCGUUUAGAAACAGAGACUAGGAACAGGAAGAAAUAUAAGUUAGGGUUUUAGAUGCUCGUUCGCUCGGACUUAUAUAGAGGAUAUUGAGGAGGGACCGGUAUUUAACAAGAAUGAAAUAAAUAUAUAUUUUAGUAUCCUAAUAGCAAAGGGGAUGUAGCUCAGAUGGUAGAGCGCUCGCUUAGCAUGCGAGAGGUACGGGGAUCGAUACCCCGCAUCUCCACAUUUUAAAAACUGACUUUUUUUUUUUAUUUAUAUUGCCGUAACAAGAAGCUUUUUCUUCAGCUCAGUCCAAACAUAGUUUACAAGCCUAAGUUUUGCACUAAAUAUAUAUUUUAUGAUCAUCCAUCAUGCUUGUUUGAUGCCGAGUUUGAGAUUGGAAAUGGUUCUUGAUUGUGUUCAGCCAAAAAAAGCAAAUGAGACUAUAUAUCUAUGUCUGAACUCUGAAGAGUAUCUCUUCUUCUUUGACUUAAUAAAUAGAGGUAGAGCCAAAUUUAGAGUCUCUUACGAAUUGGAGACAGAGAGCCAAAAUGGCCCCAUAAAGUUGACAAAAAUGUAAGUAUGGGAUAAUCAAAGCCCCAAGUGCAUGAACUUUACUUUAAUGUCAGAUCCAUCCAUACCUAAGGGGAAGUUCCUAUUAUGUCGGAUUCGUAUCUUAUUCUAAAUGACAAUAUAAGUAACUAUAUUAGUUCAUGCAAGAACUUCUCUUUGUUUUUGAUAGCGAGUGACAGCUGACACUAUAGAAUACAUAGCUCGCUAAUCGAAACGUUUCUAGAUGAUUGAUCCCUCUAAUCUCAAUUGUUUUAACUAUUAUAUAGUUUCUGAGGCAUUUAGAGAAGAUGACUCUAGCCUCCUUAAGACUUCUUCUGCAUGCGUCACUUUGGCCCCUCAUUCUCUGAUGAUCGAAUCCCUUCCUCAAUACGCUACAACACACACAAAGAUUUUGGUUACUGUUUCUUUCUGUUGAGAUCAUUUAGACUUUCGAAGCUUUGAAUAUGCUGACUUUUUCUUACCUGAAGAAGAUAGUUGUGAAGCGAAUCUAGUGUCUGCGGGAAUGUGGUGGCCGAAAUAUUUACAACAGUCACUCCCUGAUUCACAAAUAAGCAAUGUUAGAACCGUAAAACCUGAGAAAGAAAUUUUUGAGUGAUCAAGGACCCAACAAACCUGUGAAUUGAAGGAACAAAGGUAGUCUUCAAUGGUCUUUAGGUUUGUAAUUAGUCUAUCUUUCUCCUGCAAAAAAAGAAAAGCCAAACAUGUGUUCAUGCAACUUUCAAGAUCAGUUUAGUUUUCUUUUUAAGCUUCAGGUUGUUUAAUACCUUAGAUGUAUAUUUCUCUCCAGAUGUACGGGAAGAGAUCCACUCCUCUAGCAAAGCCUGAGAAAAUGAGAUUAACAAAAUAAAGAAGUGAGAAACACUACUUUUCGAGUUAUAUAGCUUGAAAGAAACAAAUUUUGAAUCACCUUAUGAUCGAAUUCAGACAUCUUUAAAACAAUAGAUAUGACUAUUGGUUCGGGGCCAGAUUUCGUUUUUCCACUUCCAUCUGCAGAUUUGCUUUUCUUCUCAGCAUCUUUUGAACUUUCAGCUGCACACACACGAAACGAAAUAGAACUAUACAAUCAUACAGAAGAAAAUGCAAGAAUUUGCAUAAGAAGAAAAAGGUUAUGCUGAAAAUACUUACCGUUGAUUUUACAUUGUGUAACUUUUUCUGAUAAGUCGAUAGCUUCUACAGAUGCCACGGCUACAUCCUGAGAAUCGGGUUUCACAGCACUAUUGUCGCUUUCUUUCGUGUUUGAAGACCCUGCCUCGAGAUUCUUGUCCGAGGUUAACUCUCUUGAAGAGUUUGUUUCGCUACUGUUCUUCUCGGUAUCAUUUGAUGGAGUUUUGUUCUCAUCAUUCAUUAAGUAUAUGCUUGGAUCUAAAUGUCUUCCCUGUGAUUACUCGACCAAUAUUAGAAAACAAAUGUAAUUGCCAAAAUAUAAUCUAGUGGGUAUAGAGCCUUCACAAACAAUAUACCUCAAUUAUAAUGGGUUUCCCAUCUUUCAUUGCUUUCUUUAAAUCACCACCAAGUCCUACACAAACCACAAGCCAUUGAGUAUUGUCAAAACACAAAGAAAAAAGAAUAAAGAGAGUAACAAUCAACAAACACAAAAUGAAAACAAAUUAACAAUCUUACAGUUUCCAAUACCAAAAGGAAGUACCUUUUCGAACAAUUCUGCAUUCUCUACAGAAUUCAGUAAUCAACUCUUCUGAUGAGCCGAAUUCUCGAGUCCAUACAGGGGUUGAUGUUAACGGAGCACUACAUUAAACAGAAAUAAACGUGUUUAUGCGCUCCUCUAUAAUCUUGUAACUCUUAGACUAGAGGAUAACAAUGUACAUAACUAAAAAAGAGAAAAACAUACUCAGUUGCUGUUCGAAGCAGCUCAUAUACCAUGUCUGUCUGUGUAACAAAGAGAACUUAACAAACAUGAAAAAAAUGAGAAGAAACAGAUGAAGAAGGGUUUAUGAGCAAGUUACUUGUAAGACGUUAGGCAAGUUUAGUCUCUGAGCAAGUUGUGUAGCAAUUGUGGACUUGCCAACACAAGCUGUUCCGCAAACAAGUAUGACAAGAGGUACUCUUUGAUGAUGAAAUCUAAAAACCAAAACUAUAAAAUCAAAAAUAUGAACUUUGAGAAAAGAUUUUCAAACAAGUAAAAUAUCAUAAAGCGUUUUACUUUGUCAUCAUGUUGUAACGAUUUAUGUAUUCUUCUCCAUAACCACGUCGCUCCAUUAGCUGCAAAUUUCAACCAUUAACAGAUUACUUCAAUGUUCAUAAGAUAAGAGAUAUGAAGUGUGUACCUUAAACAAAUUGGUUUCUAAAUCAGACUGAGAGCUGCAAAAAGAGACAAAGCAAAUAAUGUUACAAACAAACAUCAAGAUUAUGUAAAUUGAAUCAAAAAGAAGAAGAAGACGAAAAUGGGCAUACACAUCAAGAAGACUGUUGUCAAUUAGAAGCUUCUUGAGUUCAAGAGAAAUCUUUAUAGCCUCGUGAUUUGGGAUCUGAAUCAAAAUCGGCAAAUAUUGUAACCAAUGUUAUUGAAGAAUCAUUCAGUGCUAAAAUCUUAGAACCUGAAGAAUGUGUUUAGAUGUCAAAAAUAGAACAAACCUUAGUAACAGUUAACAUUCUACAAACUAAGAAGCGAGACAGAACAUAGUAGUGAUCGGCGUUGUCUCCAAGCCAUACCUUCACCUAAAAGUCGUUGAUAAGAAAAAUCAGAAACUUUAAAAAGAAGAGAAUUGAAAAAAUUGAAAGAAAAAUCGAACCUUGACGAAAUCGUAUUUGGAAGAAGCGUUACGAGGAGAAGAAGGAACAGAAGAGAAUGAUCGGAUGUUGAUAUCUCGAGGUUCGUGUUCGCCGUUGUUGAUGAUUCCAUUAGGGUUGUUUGUUGUUGUUGUUGUCAUUGAAGAACUAGACGAUGAUGAUUCCUCUCUGUCCUUCAUCUUCCAAAUUUUGACAACAAGUUUCUGAGUCUUUUUUCUUAAGAAGAAGAAUUUCGAUCUCUCUCUGUAUUAUAAUCUGUUGAUGUUUCCGACAUCUCAAUGACUUCUUUAGGACAUUCUUUUCCUUUAUUGUUUUUUUUUUUUGUUUAAUGAUAAGAAUAUCAUUAUUAUUAGCCCAUAUUGAGAAUUGAGUCCACGUUUAUUUGGCCCAGGCCUAUUUAAAUCACAAUAAUUGUUGACAACAAACAAACAUUAUGAGUCCUAGACACUGACAUAUGGAAGACGGUAGUAAUACAGAUCAUUUUGCUUUCUAUAUCUCUAAUCGCUACAAUUCGAUGAUACAUAUAAUUGGCCGUUUUGAAUUGCAUUAUUAAAAAACAUCAAUUAGCAUUUCGUGGCUUUAAGUAAGAGAUUUCUCUUUUGUUUGUGUCUCCAGGUAUUGAGUUUUUUCUUCCUUUCUUUCUCUUCCAUGGAUUAAUUUAGGAAAAUAACAUAUUAUGAUUUCAGUUUGACAAAAAUAACCCUUGUGGAUGCAGUCAAAGAGCCUAGUAAGGGAGAAGAGUGCAGCUUUCUGUUGUUGUGAAAACAUGAACACAUCGGAUGACAAAAUUGAUUUAUAAGCCAAUAAAAAACAUUCAUGUUUCUUUUUGUUAACUUCAUUAACUGUCAGAUCACUAGGAAAAUUUUUGUUGAUCUUAAAAUGAUAAUCAUAAGCCAACAAAAUGAUAUAUAAUACAGUUUAUAAUCAAAGUUUGACAAUAACUAACCGUCAUAAACAGAAAUGAGAGAAAACAAAAAAAAAAGGGUCUCACUCAGCACCUGUAAAAUCAAAUCAAUACACC